AUGUGCAUGCUUGUCUUCGAUCCAUACCCAAACUUGCCGAAAUCCUUAGAUCCAUCACCCAGAUCAAUAUUUUGCAUUCAAAUACUUGUGGGUUUAGAUCCAUCCUUUUGCAUCCAAGUACUUGUGCAUUUUGAUCCAUCUAGAUCCACAAAUCGAUUUUCCAGCUGGCACACUGUAUCAGCAGUUGCCACAAUAGUGGUAUCAGGAGUUGCAACCGGUUGUGUAUUGUUGGAUUCACCGUAA